GAUGAACGCUGGCGGCGUGCCUAAUACAUGCAAGUCGAGCGAACGGACGAGAAGCUUGCUUCUCUGAUGUUAGCGGCGGACGGGUGAGUAACACGUGGAUAACCUACCUAUAAGACUGGGAUAACUUCGGGAAACCGGAGCUAAUACCGGAUAAUAUUUUGAACCGCAUGGUUCAAAAGUGAAAGACGGUCUUGCUGUCACUUAUAGAUGGAUCCGCGCUGCAUUAGCUAGUUGGUAAGGUAACGGCCUACCAAGGCAACGAUGCAUAGCCGACCUGAGAGGGUGAUCGGCCACACUGGAACUGAGACCCGGUCCAGACUCCUACGGGAGGCAGCAGUAGGGAAUCUUCCGCAAUGGGCGAAAGCCUGACGGAGCAACGCCGCGUGAGUGAUGAAGGUCUUCGGAUCGUAAAACUCUGUUAUUAGGGAAGAACAUAUGUGUAAGUAACUGUGCACAUCUUGACGGUACCUAAUCAGAAAGCCACGGCUAACUACGUG
rnacentral:rRNA from 1 species